rnacentral:rRNA from 1 species
AGCGAACGCUGGCGGCAGGCCUAACACAUGCAAGUCGAACGAACUCUUCGGAGUUAGUGGCGGACGGGUGAGUAACACGUGGGAACGUGCCUUUUGGUUCGGAAUAACUCAGGGAAACUUGUGCUAAUACCGAAUGUGCCCUUCGGGGGAAAGAUUUAUCGCCAUUAGAGCGGCCCGCGUCUGAUUAGCUAGUUGGUGAGGUAACGGCUCACCAAGGCGACGAUCAGUAGCUGGUCUGAGAGGAUGACCAGCCACACUGGGACUGAGACACGGCCCAGACGCGUGGGGGAGGCGGCAGGGGGGGAGCGUGAGAAGGGGGAGAGCGCGGGGCGGCGCAAGGGCGAGUGAUCGGAGAAGGACGGAGAGUUCAAAAAGUCUGCCAGCGGGGAAAAGAAGGGGGGGACCGGAGGCGGAAGCCGCGGCGAAGUCCGUGGCAGCAGCGGCGGUAUAAUGGGAAGAGCAGGUGUCGGCCC